UACGAAGGGGGCUAGCGUUGUUCGGAAUUACUGGGCGUAAAGCGCACGUAGGCGGACUAUUAAGUCAGGGGUGAAAUCCCGGGGCUCAACCCCGGAACUGCCUUUGAUACUGGUAGUCUCGAGUCCGGAAGAGGUGAGUGGAAUUCCGAGUGUAGAGGUGAAAUUCGUAGAUAUUCGCAAGAACACCAGUGGCGAAGGCGGCUUACUGGUCCGGUUCUGACGCUGAGGCGCGAAAGCGUGGGGAGCAAACAGG
rnacentral:rRNA from 1 species